GUCACUGACACAGCAUUCCCCUGAGGGAAGGAAACAUCUGUCUCUGAUGGUCACAUGGGGCUCUCCGUGACCACAGAGUGGGAGAUAGACCAACAUCCCAGAUGCUCUACAUAAACUGCAAAUCUCAUAAUUUGGGGUUCCUCUCCUGGGAUGCAAACCCACUUCCCACACUGGAGACACCAGGCCUUCAUUCAUGCAGCCCAGUGCCUGGACUCUGAGGAACAAGGACAGAAAGCACAAGGGAGUCGAGAAAGGGAAGCUGGCCCUGGGAGCCUGAGACGGCCAACUAGGGUAAGC